GGCCACUCUUUAAUAAGAAUGCAUUAUUUCUGCACACUAAACGCUUGGACCGAGACUUGGUUUGGGGGUGAAGAGUGGAGCUGUGGUCAGGGAGAGGUUAACUGGCUCGUGCGCUCUGGUGGCUGGGCAGGCGCGGAGCUGCGGCGCGCUGACGCGGGGAUGGAGAGCUCAGAUGCGCUGCUGCUCCGCCAGGAUCCCGCGGCCCGGGCCGACCUUUCCCUACUGCUUUCAACGCUCUUCUGCGCCGGAACUUUACAUCACGGAUUCUUGGGGUUUCCUGGUGUGGAGUCCCCAAAGAAAAGAUACAUCAAUAGGGAGACACUCAUGCUCCUUUUCUUUUGGAUCUGGACUGCAGAUUGCAACAGAUUGGACAUCUGGAAAGCCGGCAGGAUUCCCAGAGGAGCCUUUCCCUCAAGGAUCAUACAAGACUAUUUGUGGAAACCGCCAACUAUACCCUCUACCUGGACUACUGCAGUUGUCCGGAGAUGGUCCUUGAGGGAAUUUUGCCCGCUUUUGUGGAAUGGGUGCUGGUGUCCUGUGGAUCGCCUCUGAUUGUGGACAUCGCGGAUGACACCAGCCCCACUCCGGACCCAGAGCCCAGCCCACAAUCUCCCCGCUGCGCAGAGCCUAAGCCAAAGCCCACCGCUGAUGGAGAGCCAGAGCCCACUGCGACUGAUGAGCCAUUGCCAUGGAGAGCGACAGAGCUGAGGAUCGCCUCGGAGCUUAAGCCUGACCAGUCAGACCAGGUGCGAAAGCCGGCAACAGAGCUUGCCACGGUGGAGAAUGCUAUGAAUGGCGAGAGCACGGAGGGAAGCUCCACCCACUGCAUCAUGGCUGAGGGUGAGCAGCUCUCUAUGGACAAUAAUGAGGAUCUUAUUAAUCUGGAUAUAGAUGCAAACAUGCCUGUUCUGCUUCCGCCUUCAUCUGAGCUCUCUAGCUACCCUGAACUAUAUACAUGCCUGGAUUUUCCACCCACCCUCCCUCUCUUGCCUCCUCCUAUCAUCCCUACCGCUUCAUCUCCGUCACCGCUGUGUCCUGGCAGACCCUCAGCUCAAACCUCAGCCCACCAUCUAUGCACUGGAUUCGCCGCGGGUCUGCCACUCUCUAUUGGCGUCAUGGCUGUAGGAUCCCUUGUCUCCGCCUCCAGCCUCUGAGUC
ensembl:lncRNA